rnacentral:misc_RNA from 1 species
AACGCACAUUGCGCCCUCUGGUAUUCCGGGGGGCAUGCCUGUUCGAGCGUCAUUACAACCCUCAAGCUCUGCUUGGUAUUGGGCCGCGCCGGUUCCGGCGGGCCUCAAAAUCAGUGGCGGUGCCGUCCGGCUCCAAGCGCAGUAAUUCUUCUCGCUUCUGGAGACCUGGGCGUGCGCCUGCCAGCAACCCCCAAUUUAUCAAUGGUUGACCUCGGAUCAGGUAGGGAUACCCGCUGAACUUAA